ACGUUUCAACUUCAACCCAUAACAGGUAUAGAUGCGAUAAAUACGAUAAGAUCGGUGUUUGGAUCGAUGGAACGUGUAAGAACUCAAUUUUUUGCACGAUGGUAAUCCCUAAGCUUAGAUGGUUUGGAGCUGCGGGGGACUCGGAGAUGGCCACACUACUGUUUCUGUUUCUUUUAAUUGUAAUAAGUAGCCGACUUAUUUCUUUAUAAGUUAUUAUUUGGUUUUGGGUUGUAAUAAGGCCACUUUAA